UUAAAAUCCGUUGGCUUUAUUGACCGUGAGGGUUCAAGUCCCUCUACCCCCA
rnacentral:tRNA from 3 species